rnacentral:rRNA from 1 species
UAAAACGUAGGAGACGAGCGUUAUCCGGAUUUACUGGGCGUAAAGCGUGUGCAGGCGGUUCGGCAAGUUGGAUGUGAAAUCUCCCGGCUCAACUGGGAGGGGUCGUUCAAUACUACCGAACUUGAGGUCAUCAGAGGAAGAUGGAAUUCCCGGUGUAGUGGUGAAAUGCGUAGAUAUCGGGAGGAACACCAGUGGCGAAGGCGGUCUUCUGGGAUGAUCCUGACGCUCAGACACGAAAGCUAGGGGAGCGAACGGGAUUAG